CUGGCGGCGUGCCUAUACAUGCAAGUCGAACGAACUCUGGUAUUGAUUGGUGCUUGCAUCAUGAUUUACAUUUGAGUGAGUGGCGAACUGGUGAGUAACACGUGGGAAACCUGCCCAGAAGCGGGGGAUAACACCUGGAAACAGAUGCUAAUACCGCAUAACAACUUGGACCGCAUGGUCCGAGUUUGAAAGAUGGCUUCGGCUAUCACUUUUGGAUGGUCCCGCGGCGUAUUAGCUAGAUGGUGGGGUAACGGCUCACCAUGGCAAUGAUACGUAGCCGACCUGAGAGGGUAAUCGGCCACAUUGGGACUGAGACACGGCCCAAACUCCUACGGGAGGCAGCAGUAGGGAAUCUUCCACAAUGGACGAAAGUCUGAUGGAGCAACGCCGCGUGAGUGAAGAAGGGUUUCGGCUCGUAAAACUCUGUUGUUAAAGAAGAACAUAUCUGAGAGUAACUGUUCAGGUAUUGACGGUAUUUAACCAGAAAGCCACGGCUAACUACGUGCCAGCAGCCGCGGUAAUACGUAGGUGGCAAGCGUUGUCCGGA
rnacentral:rRNA from 2 species